rnacentral:rRNA from 1 species
GCCCUGGCAGUCAGAGGCGAUGAAGGACGUGCUAAUCUGCGAUAAGCGUCGGUAAGGUGAUAUGAACCGUUAUAACCGGCGAUUUCCGAAUGGGGAAACCCAGUGUGUUUCGACACACUAUCAUUAACUGAAUCCAUAGGUUAAUGAGGCGAACCGGGGGAACUGAAACAUCUAAGUACCCCGAGGAAAAGAAAUCAACCGAGAUUCCCCCAGUAGCGGCGAGCGAACGGGGAGGAGCCCAGAGCCUGAAUCAGUGUGUGUGUUAGUGGAAGCGUCUGGAAAGGCGCGCGAUACAGGGUGACAGCCCCGUACACAAAAAUGCACAUACUGUGAGCUCGAUGAGUAGGGCGGGACACGUGGUAUCCUGUCUGAAUAUGGGGGGACCAUCCUCCAAGGCUAAAUACUCCUGACUGACCGAUAGUGAACCAGUACCGUGAGGGAAAGGCGAAAAGAACCCCGGCGAGGGGAGUGAAAAAGAACCUGAAACCGUGUACGUACAAGCAGUGGGAGCCUCUUUUAUGGGGUGACUGCGUACCUUUUGUAUAAUGGGUCAGCGACUUAUAUUCUGUAGCAAGGUUAACCGAAUAGGGGAGCCGAAGGGAAACCGAGUCUUAACUGGGCGUUAAGUUGCAGGGUAUAGACCCGAAACCCGGUGAUCUAGCCAUGGGCAGGUUGAAGGUUGGGUAACACUAACUGGAGGACCGAACCGACUAAUGUUGAAAAAUUAGCGGAUGACUUGUGGCUGGGGGUGAAAGGCCAAUCAAACCGGGAGAUAGCUGGUUCUCCCCGAAAGCUAUUUAGGUAGCGCCUCGUGAAUUCAUCUCCGGGGGUAGAGCACUGUUUCGGCAAGGGGGUCAUCCCGACUUACCAACCCGAUGCAAACUGCGAAUACCGGAGAAUGUUAUCACGGGAGACACACGGCGGGUGCUAACGUCCGUCGUGAAGAGGGAAACAACCCAGACCGCCAGCUAAGGUCCCAAAGUCAUGGUUAAGUGGGAAACGAUGUGGGAAGGCCCAGACAGCCAGGAUGUUGGCUUAGAAGCAGCCAUCAUUUAAAGAAAGCGUAAUAGCUCACUGGUCGAGUCGGCCUGCGCGGAAGAUGUAACGGGGCUAAACCAUGCACCGAAGCUGCGGCAGCGACGCUUAUGCGUUGUUGGGUAGGGGAGCGUUCUGUAAGCCUGCGAAGGUGUGCUGUGAGGCAUGCUGGAGGUAUCAGAAGUGCGAAUGCUGACAUAAGUAACGAUAAAGCGGGUGAAAAGCCCGCUCGCCGGAAGACCAAGGGUUCCUGUCCAACGUUAAUCGGGGCAGGGUGAGUCGACCCCUAAGGCGAGGCCGAAAGGCGUAGUCGAUGGGAAACAGGUUAAUAUUCCUGUACUUGGUGUUACUGCGAAGGGGGGACGGAGAAGGCUAUGUUGGCCGGGCGACGGUUGUCCCGGUUUAAGCGUGUAGGCUGGUUUUCCAGGCAAAUCCGGAAAAUCAAGGCUGAGGCGUGAUGACGAGGCACUACGGUGCUGAAGCAACAAAUGCCCUGCUUCCAGGAAAAGCCUCUAAGCAUCAGGUAACAUCAAAUCGUACCCCAAACCGACACAGGUGGUCAGGUAGAGAAUACCAAGGCGCUUGAGAGAACUCGGGUGAAGGAACUAGGCAAAAUGGUGCCGUAACUUCGGGAGAAGGCACGCUGAUAUGUAGGUGAAGCGACUUGCUCGUGGAGCUGAAAUCAGUCGAAGAUACCAGCUGGCUGCAACUGUUUAUUAAAAACACAGCACUGUGCAAACACGAAAGUGGACGUAUACGGUGUGACGCCUGCCCGGUGCCGGAAGGUUAAUUGAUGGGGUUAGCGGUAACGCGAAGCUCUUGAUCGAAGCCCCGGUAAACGGCGGCCGUAACUAUAACGGUCCUAAGGUAGCGAAAUUCCUUGUCGGGUAAGUUCCGACCUGCACGAAUGGCGUAAUGAUGGCCAGGCUGUCUCCACCCGAGACUCAGUGAAAUUGAACUCGCUGUGAAGAUGCAGUGUACCCGCGGCAAGACGGAAAGACCCCGUGAACCUUUACUAUAGCUUGACACUGAACAUUGAGCCUUGAUGUGUAGGAUAGGUGGGAGGCUUUGAAGUGUGG